AAAGGAAUUGACGGGGGCCCGCACAAGCGGUGGAGCAUGUGCUUUAAUUCGAUGCAACGCGAAGAACCUUACCCAGGCUUGACAUGGGGGUGUAAGUCCUUAGAAAUAAGGAACCUUCCGCAAGGAACGCCCUACACAGGUGCUGCAUGGUUGUCGUCAGCUCGUGUCGUGAGAUGUUGGGUUAAGUCCCGCAACGAGCGCAACCCUCGCCCUUAGUUGCUAACAGGUCAAGCUGAGAACUCUAAGGGGACUGCCCAGUUUAACUGGGAGGAAGGUGGGGAUGACGUCAAAUCCUCAUGGCCCUUACGCCUGGGGCUAGACACGUGCUACAAUGGCCGGUACAACGGGCAGCAAGCUGGUGACAGCAAGCUAAUCCCUUAAAACCGUCCUCAGUUCGGAUAGGAGUCUGCAAUUCGACUCCUUGAAGCUGGAAUCGCUAGUAAUCGCGGAUCAGCAUGCCGCGGUGAAUACGUUCCCGGGCCUUGUACACACCGCCCGU
rnacentral:rRNA from 1 species